GCAUCUAGAGGCAGUGCCACUAAUUAGCACACUUUUCUAGCAAGCUGAUCACGCAAAAGAGGCUACAGAAACAAAACUCUCUUUCAAAAGCAAUGCCUGAGGACUGCAGAAAAGUAGCACAGAAAUUUGUGGUCUUUAAUAACAAGGCUCGUUCUAUAUAGGACACCUGAAUUUCCAGGAAUGUCCUGGUACAGCUGGUACAUUUCAUAUGUGUAAAAGCUGUAAUUCUUGAAAAGCUGCAGGACCUCAUCUUUACCAAAAGGCUCAUCAGAAUGAGUGCAAUCAUAAUUUGGAGUUAAAUUGCGUUAUUUUUUUUCCAAAUAAUUUUUAAAUCCUUACUUGCCUUUUUGCAUAGUGUGCCUGGAAAGUUGCAUAAAGUGUGUUCUUGAGGGCUGCACCUAAUUAUAUUGGGCAUCCAGAAAUAGGUGCAUCUGACUCAGAAUUUCUGCAUGCUUUGCCAGCCAAUCAAACCAUAAGACAUGCAAGCUAUGGUUAAAUUAAGCAAUAAGACACCGCAAGCUGCAAGUUGUGACUUAUCGGCACACAACACACCGCAAAGAAGAUCACAACAGGAAACAGUUCUAAGGUAGUAGCUGUCCUCAGCCCAGCUAAGAAUAUCAUCAUUACUGUGGCUCUGUGCACUUUGAGUCAGAGGACCUACUAUGCUGACCCUGAACAUCACAAGAGAGGACAAAACAUAAAAUCAGGGUAAUUGAGGAACAGUUUUGAUUUUUAUGGCAAAGCAGUAUUUCUCCUGGACCACUGUUGUUAAAGUCGGAAAAAAAGGAGAGUACAAAUGAGGGAACUGAAGAAAUCAAGCCUGAAGAGUAAAACAUCAAACAAUAUUUUGCUAAGAUUUUUUUCAGAAAUCACUUCCCAGCCUUUUUCCAUUCAGAAUGUGAAAGGAUGAGAAGAAGAUCAUAUUGGGUCACACAUCCAUCUAGCCCUGUAUCUUAUCUCCUCCAGCAAUGACCAGUGGAGAAGGCCCAUGGAAACAUCAAUACAGGUCAUGCAAAGUGAUACGCACCUGGCCCUGCAAUUUGUGAUUCAGAAGCUUCCAGAGCAAAAAGUGAUGGCUUUGUAACAAUAAGGACAUUGCUGCAACAAAUACCAAAGAUUUCUGCACACAAUUUAUUAAAAACAAGUCAGUAAGAAACAGCAACUUCAUUAUUCCUGAAAUAAAUCCAAUGUGUAAAAAUCAGGAAACUUAUGCAACUAAUUUUAGCAAUAAAAACAGUAUCAAGA